ACUCAGCAUCAGACAUGCGCAAACCCGAGAGCAUCCAGUUCUACAAUCUCACUGGGGUACCAGUACUUCUCCCCAGGUACCAGUACUCAACACUGAAAUCCUACACUUUGCAGAUUUCAGUGUCAGAACUCCACUGUCGCACCACGCUAAGUCCGUUUUGCAUCCAUUUCGCACCAAAACGACUCCGACUUGUCUCAACACCUACCAGACGUGUCAACAAGCCACAGAUACU
rnacentral:lncRNA from 1 species